GUGGAUUGUGGCUCAGUGGUAGAGCAUUUGCCUAGCACAUGCGAGGUGCUGGGUUCAAUCUUCAGCACCACA
rnacentral:tRNA from 1 species